UUAGAAGUAAGAGUCUUAAGUAGGAGUCCUAUUAGGAGUUAGGGUUUAGAAGCCCUAUAAAUAGCCAUGUAUUCCUUCUCUUUUCUUGGGCAAUAGAUGAAUCUUUUCUGCAGCCUUUGAGCAGCAACUUGGAGGGAGGAACCCCUAUAGAGUUCCAAGGAGGCCGAUCCCCUAAAGAGAUCAACCCCAAGUUUAGAAUUUGCAAGGGUUCUAACACCUGGUAUCAGAGCAGUGUUCUUGGCGUCUCGCUGCCCUUCCACAGCCAUCCAUCAACCCUCUACAACCAUCCAAAGCAAUUCCCACAAUUGCUUAAAAGAUCGUCACCGAAUUCCGUN
rnacentral:lncRNA from 1 species